rnacentral:rRNA from 1 species
UUGGGUUUAAAGUGCGUGUAGGCGGUUUUGGUAAGACAGAUGUGAAAAUUCCCGGGGCUUAACCUGGGGAACUGCAUUUGUGACUGCCAGGCUAGAGUGCGGCAGAGGGGAGUGGAAUUCCGCGUGUAGCAGUGAAAUGCGUAGAUAUGCGGAGGAACACCGGUGGCGAAGGCGGCUUCCUGGACCGAAACUGACGCUGAGACGCGAAAGCGUGGGAGCAAACAGGAUUAGAUACCCGAGUA